UCAGAUGAUGUCAAGAUCAGAAUAGCCGUUACGGACUUACAUUCAUAAACGAGAUCAGCAACCUUCUAUCAAAGAAAUCAGGACAGGAAAUUAAUGACGGCAAGGUUUGUUGACUGACUGGAACAAACACAAAUUUUAUAAAACAUAUCCUAAAGAUCACUCAUUUCAAUAUUGGUGGAUUUCGGUUCAGUAGUUUCAGAUAGUCAAAAUGUUAAUCGGGACUGAACUGAACCGAUCACCAGAGAGGAAGAUACAAAAGCCGUAACUAGUGCAAAAGUUCGAAAACUAUAGCUAUCGAUGAUAUUCCCGCGGAAGUACUUGAAAACGACACAGCAAUUGAACUUCUGUACGAAUAUAAUGAGUGGUUGUUUCCAGCUCGAUAAAGUCCCAUUAGAAUGGACGAGAGGAAUAAUAAACCAAAUAUUAAAAACGAACGCAGACAAUGAACGUAUACUACUAAACUACAGUGAAAUAAAAUUUGAUAUCAGUACAAUGUAAAAUAUACUGUAGUAUUCUGAAUAAACGGCUUAAAAAAUGGUCAGAAGAUAUCGAUCAUUUCUGCGAGAAACACAAUGGCUUUCGCAGGGGUAGAAACUGUGAAGUUAAUACCCAAGCGUUAUACUUUCCCUCGAACGAUAAACAAAUAUCCCGACUGUCAACACAUGUAUGCUUUAUGAAAAUGAUGAUAGAGUUUGAAACCCUGAAUAGAACACUGUUAUGGCAUGAACGUCAAGCGUUGAGAAUACAGGGAAACUUUCUUACAGCGGUACAGUCACUUAACACUGACGCCAAAUGCACUGUCCGACUGAAUAAUGACUUAAGGUCAAGUUACAGUAAAGGGGCUAUGUCACAGAUUUUGCUAAAAUUUGGCAUACAACUUUGGCGCGUUGGACUAUAACUGAAAAUCAAAAAAAUAA